GGAGUUGGACGGAUCAUCGCCGCGGUAUUUAUACCGGGGAGGAAAGUCCGGGCUCCGAAGGGCAGGGUGCCAGGUAACACCUGGGGGGCGUGAGCCUACGGAAAGUGCAGCAGAGAGUAAACCGCCGAUGGCCUCGCAGAGGCACAGGUAAGGGUGAAAGGGUGCGGUAAGAGCGCACC
rnacentral:RNase_P_RNA from 1 species